rnacentral:rRNA from 1 species
UACGGAGGGGGCUAGCGUUGUUCGGAAUUACUGGGCGUAAAGCGCGCGUAGGCGGACCUGCAAGUCGGGGGUGAAAGCCCGAGGCUCAACCUCGGAACUGCCUUCGAUACUGCGGGUCUCGAGUCCGGGAGAGGUGAGUGGAACUCCGAGUGUAGAGGUGAAAUUCGUAGAUAUUCGGAAGAACACCAGUGGCGAAGGCGACUUACUGGUCCAUUACUGACGCUGAGGCUCGAAAGCGUGGGGAGCAAACAGG